AUGCAAUCUCAGCAACUACUCUCCGCCAGUUACCGAUUUCCACAACUAUCUCCAUCUCAUCUCUUCACACACUACCCUUCACAUCACCGUAGCCUCUUACCAUCGCGAACUGCCUCACAACCUUCACACUCUAACCCCCACCGCUUUCUCCAUACCUUCCUCCCUAUACCCAAAACCGUCACAUCUCUCUCCGACUCAUUCAUUCAGAUUCAAAUUCUCUUUCACUUCAAUAUCACCCUUCUUGCCUUCAAUUGCUUCGAUCUUCUUCUUCUACGGUUAUGGGAUCUCCAGCUUGAAGUAGUUGGAGCUGCUUAA